rnacentral:lncRNA from 1 species
GUGUGUGUGUGUGUGUGUAUGCCAAACAUACAUCUAUAUAUUGCACUAAUGAAACAUUGUGCAUAAUGUACCUUUUUCUAUCUAAAAUAUUACAUAAUAAAAUUUUAAAGGUAAUAAAAUGUGCAUAAUACUGAUCACACUUCUCUUAGAAGAAGUCAUGUGGUCUUCUGCAGCAGUUCAAAAUUUCUGACCAAUUUCCUGGGUUUGAAUCCAGAUUCCAUCACCUAAUAGCUAUGUGAUCUUGAGUAAGUUCUGUUACUUCUCUAGCCUUUUCCUUCAUCUGUAAUAUAUCAAUGAUAAUACCUACCUCUUACUGUGGUUGUGAAGAGUAAAUAAAAUAAUGCAUGCUUGGGGCUGGGAUGUGGCUCAAGCGGUAGCGCGCUU